UUGAUUUAUUUAAUAAUCACUCAGAGAUUCAGUAAAAACAGAGUUUGGUUUGUCCGCCGGCGGGCUCGGGGGGCUGGGCCCCCUCCGCCUCGCCGAGGCAACGGUAUGAUAAGUUCACAUGGGUUUGGGAGUUGUUUAAGACUCUAUAAUGAUCCCUCCGCUGGUUCACCAACGGAGA
rnacentral:misc_RNA from 1 species